rnacentral:rRNA from 1 species
AUUGAACGCUGGCGGCAGGCCUAACACAUGCAAGUCGAACGGUAACAGGAAGCAGCUUGCUGCUUUGCUGACGAGUGGCGGACGGGUGAGUAAUGUCUGUGAAACUGCCUGAUGGAGGGGGAUAACUACUGGAAACGGUAGCUAAUACCGCAUAACGUCGCAAGACCAAAGAGGGGGACCUUAGGGCCUCUUGCCAUCGGAUGUGCCCAGAUGGGAUUAGCUAGUAGGUGGGGUAACGGCUCACCUAGGCGACGAUCCCUAGCUGGUCUGAGAGGAUGACCAGCCACACUGGAACUGAGACACGGUCCAGACUCCUACGGGAGGCAGCAGUGGGGAAUAUUGCACAAUGGGCGCAAGCCUGAUGCAGCCAUGCCGCGUGUAUGAAGAAGGCCUUCGGGUUGUAAAGUACUUUCAGCGGGGAGGAAGGGAGUAAAGUUAAUACCUUUGCUCAUUGACGUUACCCGCAGAAGAAGCACCGGCUAACUCCGUG